UUUUGUGGGUGGGAGGUAGUUGUAGAGAUGUAGAUGUCAAAAAUAUAGCCUAGGUAAAUAGAUAAAAUCAAUUCCCAUGAUACAUUUUUAAUAUUAUUAUUUUGCUUUCUAUUAAACACACUAAUUACAUAAAGAGCGGAAUCGUACGCGAUAUACCUGGCAACCAAUCAUCUAAACCGUCAGCCUGCACUCAUUUUCCAAUUCAUUUUCUGAGCCUUUGAGGAUGAACAAGACCAACGAGAACCAGUCAGGUAAAAAUCAUUGGUGAAGUCACCAGAUGUGGAUGGCGUGUAUGUUGUUCGACAUUGCAGCGUGCUGAUGAGUUAAUAAAGAGGCAGCAAAAACCUGGUAUCUGCAUUGGCCCUGUCAAGUCUGGAGAGUGUUUUUACCAUUUAAUGAAUUAAAUUGUAAUAAAAGUUUUUAAAUGGA